rnacentral:lncRNA from 1 species
AGUUUGUGAAAUACCAAAAUUGCCCUCGGAGGAAGUAAUCAAACCGGAUGAGUCUGUCCAAGAGGUCAAUGAGGAAGUUUGUGAAAUACCAAAAUUGCCCUCGGAGGAAGUAAUCAAACCGCAUGAGUCGGUCAAAGAGGUCAAUGAGGAAAUUUCUGAAAUACCAAACUUGCCCUCGGAGGAAGUAAUCAAACCGGAUGAGUUGAAAGCUGCAGAAACCAAGAACGGGGAAACUGAGCCUGUAAAAGAGGUUGUGGAAGAAGUGUCUGAAAUACCCAAAUUGCCCUCGGAGGAAGUAACCAAACAAGAAGAUGUCAACGAGAGCAAAAACCCGGAAAUCCCCCUGGUGGACGAGCCUGCAAAAGAGGUCAAUGAAGAAGCACUUGAAAACCCCAAAACGCCCCCGCCGGAGAACGCAACCAAGCCCGCCAAUGAAGAACCAGAACCGGUGGUCAAAGAUGCUGUUCCGGCGACUAAAGUGGAAGCAGGCGGCGGUGGUGGUGCUGCAGCAGAGAAUGGUUGUCCGGUGGCGGAGGAGAAGCCUUCAUGGGAGGAGAUAAAGAUAGAGUGACCGGUGAUUGUGGUGGCGGGGGCGGCGGUGGUGGUGGUGCCGCCUGCUCUCUAAGUUAGUGUUGUUUGUUUAUCAUCUUUCUUUUGGUGAANUGGUGGUGGUGGUGCUGCAGCAGAGAAUGGUUGUCCGGUGGCGGAGGAGAAGCCUUCAUGGGAGGAGAUAAAGAUAGAGUGACCGGUGAUUGUGGUGGCGGCGGCGGCGGUGGUGGUGGUGCCGCCUGCUCUCUAAGUUAGUGUUGUUUGUUUAUCAUCUUUCUUUUGGUGAAAAUCUUAUUGCUGACAGAGACAUUUCUGUAAUCUGUAUUCUGUGAUAGGAUUUAUUAAUUAGGAGUCAUGAAAAACUUUAACUUUAGCAACAUCAAAGGGACACAAGUGAAGUGACAUUUGUUGGGGGUAAAUCCGUCAACAAAGUAGUCAUUUAGUAUGGUUUGUUGUGGCCUUUGUUGUGUGUCUAUAGGCUUAUAUUAUUCUAGGUUACAGAGGUCAUGUUAAUGCCUGUAUCAUCGUUAUGUAAUAGGCAAACUCUUUUAUGAGCUUUUAACUUUUGCAUUUCCCUUGUUUUAUUGCACAAACAUUCUUGUGUUCUAUCACCAUUUGUGUUUGAUAAUCGUUGCAAAUUGCUUUCCUUUUGUGUUUUCUUAUUUUUUUGUGAUGAAUAUAGAACAUCAUGAUUCAUAUAAGAUGUAAAUUCUAGAUUCCAUUGAAUUAUCAAAGCGUUGAAAAAGGCAUCUUUGAAAGCAUAAAAGAUAUACAAAUAUAGGUUUUUAAUUUGAUCUCAUUACAAUCAAAGAUUGAUUUGGGAAUUUAUGAAAAUGAAAGGAAGAAUUUAAUUCAUGCAAAGCAAAUUGCUUCUCAUAUCAUAUGAACCCUAAAUUAGAAAACAAAAAAAAAAAAA